GGCGUGCUUAACACAUGCAAGUCGAACGGACUUUAAUGAAACCUAGUGAUUUAAAAGUUAGUGGCGGACGGGUGAGUAACGCGUGGGUAACCUGCCGUAUGCUGGGGGACAACAGUUAGAAAUGACUGCUAAUACCGCAUAAGCGCACAGUAUCGCAUGAUACAGUGUGAAAAACUCCGGUGGCAUACGAUGGACCCGCGUCUGAUUAGCUAGUUGGUGAGGUAACGGCUCACCAAGGCGACGAUCAGUAGCCGGCCUGAGAGGGUGAACGGCCACAUUGGGACUGAGACACGGCCCAAACUCCUACGGGAGGCAGCAGUGGGGAAUAUUGCACAAUGGGGGAAACCCUGAUGCAGCGACGCCGCGUGAGUGAAGAAGUAUUUCGGUAUGUAAAGCUCUAUCAGCAGGGAAGAAAAUGACGGUACCUGACUAAGAAGCCCCGGCUAACUACGUG
rnacentral:rRNA from 1 species